rnacentral:rRNA from 1 species
GUGGGGAAUAUUGGACAAUGGGCGAAAGCCUGAUCCAGCAAUGCCGCGUGAGUGAUGAAGGCCCUAGGGUUGUAAAGCUCUUUUACCAGGGAUGAUAAUGACAGUACCUGGAGAAUAAGCUCCGGCUAACUCCGUGCCAGCAGCCGCGGUAAUACGGAGGGAGCUAGCGUUGUUCGGAAUUACUGGGCGUAAAGCGCGCGUAGGCGGUUUUUUAAGUCAGAGGUGAAAGCCCGGUGCUCAACCCCGGAAUUGCCUUUGAAACUGGAAAACUUGAAUCUUGGAGAGGUCAGUGGAAUUCCGAGUGUAGAGGUGAAAUUCGUAGAUAUUCGGAAGAACACCAGUGGCGAAGGCGACUGACUGGACAAGUAUUGACGCUGAGGUGCGAAAGCGUGGGGAGCAAACAGGAUUAGAUACCCCAGUAGUCC